UAGACUCAGUGAAAAAAUGCG
rnacentral:piRNA from 1 species